rnacentral:rRNA from 1 species
CCUACGGGAGGCAGCAGUGGGGAAUAUUGCACAAUGGGGGAAACCCUGAUGCAGCGACGCCGCGUGAGUGAAGACGUAAUUCGUUAUGUAAAGCUCUAUCUGCAGGGAAGUAAAUGCCGGUACCUGAGUCAGACGCCCCGGCUAACUCCGUGCCAGCAGCCGCGGUAAUACGUAGGGUGCCAGCGUUAUCCGGAUUUACUGGGUGUAAAGGGAGCGUAGACGGCAGUGCAAGUCUGGAGUGAAAGGCGGGGGCUCAACCCCCGGACUGCUCUGGAGACUGUACGGCUGGAGUGCAGGAGAGGUAAGUGGAAUGUAUAGUGUAGCGGUGAAAUGCGUAGAGAUUAGGAGGAACACCAGUGGCGAAGGCAGCUUACUAGACUAUAACUGACGUUGAGGCACGAAAGCGUGGGGAGCAAACAGGAUUAGAUACCCUUGUAGUC